GUUGCCACCAAUCGGCCCUAUGCUGAAUAUCGUCAUCGUCAUCGUCGACGAUCGUCAGCGCAACAGUAACAUGGCUGACGAUGGCCGUAUCGUAACUUUUACUGACGAUAUUCAACAUGGGGCGAAAUAUAUGUACAUCAAUUAAAUAGAAAAAAUUUAAAACCCGAAACUAUUGCAUGAAGUGAAAGGGUGAUAAUAACCCUGACCAAAGGCUUGUGAAAUGGACCAUUUUGAAAAGAAUUGGACCAAUGGACCAAACGAAAAGAUUUGGACCAUUUCGAUCAAAACGGCAACCGUGGUAGUGAGUUCUGAGAUACGAGGUUUUGCCAAAGUAGCGUCGAUAUGCAGUGCCAGGAUGGCAAUGAAUACAUAUGCACUUUAAUUUUCUUACGUGUAAGUACAUACGCAUUACGCAUUGGCAGCUACAUUUGUAUGCACAUAAAAGCACAACCGGAACAGUCGAGCACAAGAGCGAACGGGUAAAAAA